GGUGGGUUUUCUAUCGGCCUACGUCCCUCUCCCCUGCGUGUUUGCACCAUAGGCCCAGGGCUGAGAAGAAAGAGCCCAUCUGAGCUCGGGGUGGCCCAUCCAAACACAUGCAGCAGGACACACAAAGUCAGCUGGUGAGCAUCCAUGGGCAUGGGGAGCAGCUACAGGAUCAGCAGAGAUGUGGCCACUGGUACCACGGCUGCCUGCCGGCACAGGAGGGACUCGGGCUGUGGCACAGGCCUCUGGAGGACACCCUGGCCACCACCUCUGGCCAGGGCUGUGGGAUAAGGGCUGGGCAAGAGGCACAGGCAAGAGGUAGCAAAUCACAGACAGCGUUUUUGAGAAAAGUUAAGCAGUUUAUUCAACAGGAUGAGUCCACACCCAACCAGUUGCUUCAUCUACAUGGCAUCACCAGCACACACAAGGACCCACUCAGACACUCUAGCUGACGGCAUCUCACCAUACGUUACAGAGACAACACCGGGGAGGAGGAGGAUGACCGGUACAAGGGGCAGCAGCCACAGUCUCCCACGGCUGCCCGGCGUAACCAACCCCGUCCCCACCACAGCUCACGGCCCAGCCACGCGAAGCACAUCAGACUCGGGACAUCUACUGCCGCCCCCGAGAACCACAACACCGCUAGUUAAAUGACACACCCGGGGUUACAAAAACGACCUACCAGGGGACUUCAGCCUAAGGAACAAAGUGCACUGUCAUCGCCGCCCCGGCACCGCGCGCCGCUGAGGGUCUGUACAGGGAAGGGGCUGCUGCGGUACCAUCACACUUGGUCAGCACCAUCGCGGGCCAUGCCGGGCCCUGGUGAGGGCAGGCGAGGGCCAAACUGCCCCGGCACCACGGGAUGGACGGGGCAGGGCCGAGGGAGCCGGGCCGAGGUUGGCGCUCGCUCUGCACAGCAGAGGAACAGCCGCCCCCCUCAGGGCUGGGGGUCCCGGGGGCUGCGCGGCCCCUCGCCCACGGUGCUGCAGGGGGGCAGGAGCACACCCCACCCCGCUCCCGGCCCUGGGCUGGCACAGGGAAACUCUGUGAACUCUGCGGCCCACGCACAGUCUGUGCCCUCGGGGCGGUACCGAGGGUCAGGGUUGGUUACUCACAAACCAUGAGCAGGUUCCAGUUACGAUGCUCCUACAAUGUACGUGGCUCAAUUUUGUGCCAAGUUCGCUUACAGAAAAAUACAUUUCUUCCCUUAAAUUUACAGUAGUUAAAACUACACUUGGAAUACUGUAUUACAAAGGGGGAGUUUAUUCUCCAACAAAAAGUCUUGGUUCCCUUUUCAUCAAACAGAAAAAUGGAAGGGCUUUAAAAGCAAUCGCCCCCAGCACAACACAACUGCCCAGACGAACCCAUGUGUGUACAGCUCCCAGGCCUGAACUCCAACUGUUUGUUCUGGUGCUCAAAAAGGCACUUAAAGAUAAGAAAACAACUGUAUUAAAAACCCACAACAAAACAAAACAAAGGAAAACGAAAGGCAAUAAUUUAAUAGAAAGACACUGGAACUUGUACCGUAUCUCCAAAAGUAAGAAGGGAGGAAAUAAAACCCCUAGUGAACAUAGGUUUGCUCUCAAGUCAUCUUGGAAAUAAUAUUAAAAAAAAGGAAACUGGCAAAGUGAAUGUUCUCCAGGAACUAAACGGAAACAAAAAUAAUAAUUACUGGCAACAGAUACACAGCGCUCGUGCCAAAUGGGUCCUUCCCUUCCCAGCACACGGCCCUGAGCAGCCCAGCCUGGUGGAACAUCUGCUGCCACUGCGCUAGGCCGGGCCGGGGCCUGCGCCAGGAAAGGGGGAUGAUGGAGAAAUAAACACCAACAUGAACCAACUGUGGUCAUUACAAACGCCAAGGACGUUCACAGACAAGCACACACACACCGUAGUCCCUGCCAACGUGACAGGGAGGGACACGGGCAGAGCUGCUCCCCCCAGGCUCUGCGAGGGGCGCCGGCGGCUUCACUUCCCUUCAGGGUUACUAUUAUUAUUACUGGGUUUAUUUUUACAUCGAGCUACCUACUAAGUGCAAAGAUUUGGUGAGUGGCAUUGGCUUUUAUCUAAUCUUAGCCUAUUUUUUACAGUUUACAGGUUAACAGUUACUUUCCAGCAGUUAAGCAAGUAGGGCAAUAUAUACAGGGCUGGCAGAGCAGGGGGCAAGGGGACACGUGCGCUGGGCACGGGACAGGGACAGGCACCAGCCGGUCCCGAUGGGUCUGUGACCCCACUCCGUGCCCGCUGCGUGGAGGCACAGGCGUGGAGGGGCAGAUAUGGAGGUUCAGGUGUGCAGGUAUGGAUAUGGAAGUGCAGGCGUGGAGGGGCAGGUGGAGAAGGGCACAUAUGGAGGUGCAGGCAGCCUCACAUGAGGGUGAGCUCCCAGGCUGAGAACAAGCCCUAGCAGGACCAGUGGGCUCUGCUGCCCUGGCCGGUGCCUCCACCACCUUCUGGAAGUCAAGCUGCUCCUCCUGCAGAGCUGGGGUCCGCAGUGGUGCUGGAGAGGUGAGGAAGAUGAAGGGGAGACAAAGCAAAGGCCUGGGCAGGGGCGGGUGGCUGCUGGGUGAGGCAGGAGGGUUCGUGGGCGUCUUUGCCCAGGCACAGACAGAGCAGCAGGGUCAGAGAUAGCGGGGAGGAAGGAUGGACGUUAAGGAGCCAUUAGUACAUGACCAUGGGGAAGUGCCAAAUCAAACCAUGGGGCAUUGCAUGGAAAUCUGUACAAGGAAAAGCUGCAGGAGAAGCACAGAACGUCUUGGAUUCAGCGCUUAGAGCGGAGUCUGGAUUAUCAGAAAGGACCAUGCAAUCCCCAGCUUUCUGCAUAUUUUUUCUCUGGGUAAAACAAAAUGUAGAUUCCUUUGCAUAACUCAAACAGUUGUAUUAUAUGGUACAGUACAGAAAGUGCAAAGUGUCACCCAUCAGAUCGGUUCUGCAUUUGACACGGUCAAAUAUGGCUCAUGCUUCUCAUGCAGGAUGACACACUCUGAACUGAGACCCCCCUGUGCCGCUGGGCAGCUUCACACCGAGGAACAUGGUGGUGCCAAAGCCUCCUCACUGCUUACACCUGACUGUCGAGAGACCAUUGGGUUGUCUUCUUAUUAAUUAAAAAAAAAAAAAAAGUGUGCGGGGAAAGGGAGAUGAAGGAUCUCCAAACUGUUUAGUUACUCCAUACUUUACCACAGGGUUGUCACCAGUCCUUGUUCACUCUGAAACCUUCCAGAAAAGCAGCGUUCCAUGGCCCCAGUGCAGCACAGCAUCCUCCUCCUGUGUGAAGGUGAUGGUGCACACCUUGCUCUGUCCCCACUCACGGCACACAGCUCACUCUGUCCCUGCUGCCCGGGGCGUCACAGGCACACAAAGACGUCUCAGGAUUCAGGACUGAACAAACUCCAGCUGGCUGGACACACACCAUCAUUUAUGGAUUUCCAGCUCUUCUCUACAACCCAGUAGUGAACAGACCCCGCUGCAUCCCCAUCCCUUUUUUUUUUAAAUGCCAAGAGGUGCAGAAACUAAAUUCCAGGAUGGCUUGUAUUGCUCGACGCAUGGCUGCUGCGGUGUGGGCCUCCACCCGUGCACAGAGUCUGGGAAACCCAGCCCAACCCACCAUCUCCAGAGAGGACAUUUCAGAGCCAGUUUCUGAGGUAAAUCUACUGUUUUAAAAAGUCA